ACACUUACGUGGCAGGGGAGAUACCAUGAUCAUGAAGGUGGUUUUCCCAGGGCGAGGCUUAUCCAUUGCACUCCAGAUGUGCUGAUCCUUGUAAUUUCCCCAAAUUUGGGAAACUCAACUGCAUAAUUUGUGGUAGUGGGGGACUGCGUUCACACUCUCCCCUA